rnacentral:rRNA from 1 species
AGAGCGAACGCUGGCGGCAGGCUUAACACAUGCAAGUCGAACGGAUCCUUCGGGAUUAGUGGCGGACGGGUGAGUAACACGUGGGAACGUGCCUUUUGGUUCGGAACAACACAGGGAAACUUGUGCUAAUACCGAAUGUGCCCUUCGGGGGAAAGAUUUAUCGCCAUUAGAGCGGCCCGCGUCUGAUUAGCUAGUUGGUGAGGUAAAGGCUCACCAAGGCUACGAUCAGUAGCUGGUCUGAGAGGAUGAUCAGCCACAUUGGGACUGAGACACGGCCCAAACUCCUACGGGAGGCAGCAGUGGGGAAUCUUGCGCAAUGGGGGAAACCCUGACGCAGCCAUGCCGCGUGAAUGAUGAAGGUCUUAGGAUUGUAAAAUUCUUUCAGCGGGGACGAUAAUGACGGUACCCGCAGAAGAAGCUCCGGCUAACUUCGCGCCAGCAGCCGC